rnacentral:rRNA from 1 species
UACGUAGGCAGCAAGCGUUGUUCGGAGUUACUGGGCGUAAAGGGUGUGUAGGCGGUUGUUUAAGUUUGGUGUGAAAUCUCCCGGCUCAACCGGGAGGGUGCGCCGAAUACUGAAUGACUCGAGUGCGGGAGAGGAGAGUGGAAUUCCUGGUGUAGCGGUGAAAUGCGUGGAUAUCAGGAGGAACACCGGUGGUGUAGACGGCUCUCUGGACCGUAACUGACGCUGAGGCACGAAAGCGUGGGUAGCAAACAGG